GGAGCCAUCUGAAGUCCUGAGGCAGAUGCUGGAGGAACUGGAGAGAGGACACGAGACGGAACGAGAGGCUGUGCAGAAGGAGGCGUUUCCGGAAGGAAGCGGUGGCUCGCUGCCAGUCUCUGCCAAAGGAACGGAGGCGAUGCAAGCCACCGGCACGCCAGCGCUGUCAAAGCCCGGAGAAGACCACCACGGCGGCGUAUAUGAAUUUUUUCGAACGG